UCUUGGUAAUUGACUAAAGUACACUACU
rnacentral:sRNA from 1 species